rnacentral:lncRNA from 1 species
GGGGUAGCAAUAAUUCCCGUUACUGUUUGGCUUUGUAGAGACACGUGAAAGAUGAGACAGAAUUACCCUGACUCUGAUGAAAUCCUUCAUAAAACAUGUUUGGGGUUGUGAGCAUUGUUCUAGAACUUUUACACAGCGGCUGUGGACACUCAAGUACGAACUCCACCGGAGGAAUUCCUUGCAGACGACAGACAUGUGGCAAUCUUUUCAGAAUUCCACUCGCUCACUGAUACUGCAUGCAACGCCCACCUCGUCCAGCAAGGAAGACACAACACCGUUGGAUUCUUCUCAACAGCCUUUAUUACAGGAACACCUCAUUGUUGAUACGGGGACCCCGAGCAACAAAGGCACCAGCCUUAUAUACAAAACAGGCUAUGGCUAUAUACUUGUCCUCUAGGGAUUGGUGGAGCAUGAAAUACCUCAUUAGCAUGAAUAUCACUCCAGCCUGAUAGCUGCUGGAGAAAUGCCAGGAAAUGCGCUUUGUGGGUGUUAACCACAAACGACCACCAGAUGUCAGCACCAUCUUUUAUCUAUAUGUGCCACUCCCUACACUGCAGAUAACUCACUGUUAUCUCGAGGAAGCCUAGAAGACCAGAGCCAACAUUUCAACCAGCUUACCCAAGGUUACAGAAUGACAUGGGCGCAAAAUGAGAUCUCAUGCGAGGGGAG